GACGAACGCUGGCGGCGUGCCUAAUACAUGCAAGUAGAACGCUGAAGAGAGGAGCUUGCUCUUCUUGGAUGAGUUGCGAACGGGUGAGUAACGCGUAGGUAACCUGCCUUGUAGCGGGGGAUAACUAUUGGAAACGAUAGCUAAUACCGCAUAACAAUGGAUGACACAUGUCAUUUAUUUGAAAGGGGCAAUUGCUCCACUACAAGAUGGACCUGCGUUGUAUUAGCUAGUAGGUGAGGUAAUGGCUCACCUAGGCGACGAUACAUAGCCGACCUGAGAGGGUGAACGGCCAACCUGGGACUGGGACACGGCCCAGAAUCCUACGGGAGGCAGCAGUAGGGAAUCUUCGGCAAUGGGGGCAACCCUGAACGAGCAACGCCGCGUGAGUGAAGAAGGUUUUCGGAUCGUAAAGCUCUGUUGUAAGUCAAGAACGGGUGUGAGAGUGGAAAGUUCACACUGUGACGGUAGCUUACCAGAAAGGGACGGCUAACUACGUG
rnacentral:rRNA from 1 species